UAAUCCUGGUCCUUGAAAUCUACCACUUUGUAGUGAGAAGAGGCAAGCAAAGAUAAGACAGUGGAAAACAGAGAAAAAUAUUGUCCCUGAGGCUGAGGAUUGCGUAAGAUACCAGUCCUAGGCCUUCCGAAGAAGGAAGCUGGGGAAAUAGACCAGGGACUUGGAAGAAGACACCAGAGAGCAGUUUGAGAGUAAACCGCAAGCCAAAUAAGAAUUCUUUAAAGGCUAGCAUCACAGAAUGAAGAAUUUCUUGGAAUUCUCAAAUCUACCACAUCUCCCAUUUCAAUGACCCAGUUAUACCGGAGACCUGAUUUAUAUCAUCUUCCUCACCGUAAGGGGUGAUCUCGGGCUCCCCUUUAAGGCUAGAACAAGCCGCUAACAGCACAGGUGAUGCUCUCAUAGUCGGUAACUUUUGCGAAGGGUUGGAUGAGGAGCUCUAGCACCUUUAAUGGUAUUUUCUUUGGCGUGAUCUUCUUUCUUUCAUCCAUCAUGGUUUCCUGUUGGAUAAUUGUAAAGCACAGAAAAGGAUUACAUAUCAUGCCUUGUUGGACCAGCAAGAGAGGAGUGAAAUGGCCAGAAGAGGUGUUAGCAGGGAAAAGAGCAGCUACAAAACACGAGUCAACGCCUGAGGUGGUGGUUAGUGUCCAGGAGAAAGCAGUGUUGUAAUUAAUGGCUUCUUCCGGCGGUUGUGUUGUGAUCCGCGACCGAAGGACCUGAUGCCUAUAACUAGCCCUCUCCUCCAUCAGGGAAUUCCGCUACAACUGUCUACCAGCAGUAUUACAGAUGAAAAACCUAAAGAGAUGAUCCAUUUACAUCCUCAAGAAGACAGCGGUGGAAGUCCUCAAACUCUGCAAACAAAUCAGGAAAACAGCAGUGCCCUUCCUUGACAAAGUAUACUAUAGAGCUGGAAAACGCCUCGGAUUACAGUGUUGCUGGAAAGGAGCCAAUUCAACAGAGUAAGAUGUGAGACUCAUAAAAUCUUGGAAGUGACCUCACUGAGACGCAGGCGUGUGUACGUGAAGGUGCUGCUGGGCUCCCAGGAGCUAGUAAAAGCUCCCUCCUCUUAGCUUGGAUUACUGUCACUCCUUGUGCUUUCUCCUCCUGCUGAACACACACAUCAUCGAGUUGGGGGAAAAGACUGCACUUAGGGUAUAUAAAUAGUCUCAAUUACUUAAAGGAAGAAGGUGGCACUUCGGAUUUCUGUUUACAAGUUUGUGAUUCGCCUUUCUUAUUUUCAAACGUUCAUACUGUGAAAUGGGCUCAUUAACGAGAAGAUCAAAAUCCAGGAGGAAGAUGUGAAAAACUAAGUCACAUACAAUUAUACUACUCAGUGAGAACCACUGUUAAUAUUUUGAUUUAUUUCUGCUAACCUUUCUUCAUACGUUUGUUUCUUUUUAAAGAUUUUUUUUUUUUUUUUAUUUGUUAGAGAGAGAGAGA